UUCGUCUCUGUCUGGGAGUUUCGGCCGCCGAAAGUGCUGCCGAACAUGCAUGAGUUUUGCCUCUGUCUGGGAGUUUCGGCCGCCAAAGGUGCCGCCGAACCUGCCUGACUUUCGGCUCUGGAGGGACUUUCGGCCGCCGAACCUGCCGCCGAAAGUGCCCUGUCCAGCCUUCCUUUGCAUGUUCUUGCAUGGAUGUUUUGAGGUGUUUUAGAGGGUUUUUGGGGGAUGUUUUCAGAGUCAUGUUAUAGUAUGUUGGUCCCUCAUUUGAGUCCACCUGUGUAGGUUCGGACCCGAGGAACCGAGGACCUCAGCAGUGAGUCAGCUGCUUCAGUCAGUGUUAGAGUUAGCCAGAGGUGAGUAGAAUAACUC
rnacentral:lncRNA from 1 species